rnacentral:rRNA from 1 species
AUGAAACAAGUUGCUGCUGCUGAGGGUUCUCCAAGUGUACCAGGAAAAAGUCGUUCAAAAGAUAAAAGUGCAGUGAAAAAGGUGAAAUUCGCCAAGACCAGAUCCUCUCCACGACUAAGGGAAACAUUGUCGCAGACAACGUCAUCGGAGACAACAGAAGUUAUCCAUCUUGAUGAAUCUCCCACGGCGACAUCUCUGUCUGAAAAAGCAGCAGCAUCUAGCGAGGGUGCAUCUGAUGCUGUUGCGGUGACAUCGGCUGGUGUUUCUGAUGACGCUGUUUUUCAGCUAGCUGCAGCGGCAACUGUUACUGCUGCUGUUGAAGAUAUCGCCAGCGUGGCUGUAGCUAUUGAAUGCGAAGAUGAAGUCGUCCCUAAUAUAGCGCAUGAUGGAAGUGAAGCUGAAAAAGUUGUGGGAAGUACUAGAGACAAUAUGCCUACUGAUACGGCUACAGCUGGAGGUGAAAAGAAUGAUGCCGAUAAUCCUGUUGUCACAGCUGUAGCUGACCCUGCAUUGGAGUUGAGCACUCCUGGAGCUGGAAACUACGAUGGUAAUUUUACGCCACCCAGCUGCUCUCUUGGGAUGGAUGCCAUCUUUGGUGUGAGUCCUCAAGUGCCACCAUCUACUGAAGCAACUGCAACGGCUCAAGCUGCACCAACGUUGGCUCAAGUACCACCUGCAGCACCAGAAGCACCUGCGGCGGUGCCAUCUGUUCAAGUACCACCUGCAGCACCAGAAGCACCUGUGGCGGCGCCCUCUGCUCAAGUACCACCUGCAGAACCAGCUACUGGCCCUGACGCCGUUCUAGGGCUCGCAGCUCCUGUUGAUGCUGACUCGAAGGGCAAGGCAAUGAUGAAAGUUACCAAGGCUCAACCGGUUGCUUGGGCUCCGCCACCCAACAACUCUGGUAAGUGA